GACGUAGGGCGCGAGCGUUGUCCGGGAUUUAUUGGGCGUAAAGAGCUCGUAGGCGGCUCGUUGCGUCGGCUGUGAAAACCCGCAGCUCAACUGUGGGCUUGCAGCUGAUACGGGCGGGCUGGGAUUCGGUAGGGGAGACUGGAAUUCCUGGUGUAGCGGUGAAAUGCGCAGAUAUCAGGAGGAACACCGGUGGCGAAGGCGGGUCUCUGGGCCGAUAUCGACGCUGAGGAGCGAAAGCGUGGGGAGCGAACAGG
rnacentral:rRNA from 1 species